UACGGGGGGGGCAAGCGUUGUUCGGAAUUACUGGGCGUAAAGGGCUCGUAGGCGGCCAACUAAGUCAUACGUGAAAUCCCUCGGCUUAACCGGGGAACUGCGUCUGAUACUGGAUGGCUUGAGUUCGGGAGAGGGAUGCGGAAUUCCAGGUGUAGCGGUGAAAUGCGUAGAUAUCUGGAGGAACACCGGUGGCGAAGGCGGCAUCCUGGACCGAUACUGACCGCUGAGGAGCGAAAGCCAGGGGAGCAAACGGG
rnacentral:rRNA from 1 species